rnacentral:tRNA from 1 species
AAUAAAUUAGUUCAUUUAAAAUUUUAGUUUGUCAAACUAAAGAUAAAAGAAAUUCCUCA